rnacentral:rRNA from 1 species
CCCGCUGRACUUAAGCAUAUCAAUAAGCGGAGGAAAAGAAACUAACAAGGAUUCCCCUAGUAACUGCGAGUGAAGCGGGAAAAGCUCAAAUUUGAAAUCUGGCAGUUCUUUUGACUGUCCGAGUUGUAAUCUAGAGAAGUGUUACCUGUGCUGGACCAUGUACAAGUCUUCUGGAAUGGAGCAUCAUAGAGGGUGAGAAUCCCGUCUUUGACAUGGACUACCAGUGCACUGUGGUGCGCUCUCAAAGAGUCGAGUUGUUUGGGAAUGCAGCUCAAAAUGGGUGGUAAAUGCCAUCUAAAGCUAAAUAUUGG